rnacentral:lncRNA from 1 species
AAUUUUCCUAUCAGCCAACUGUGCCUUUAAGGGAGACAGGAUUGAUGUGAGAUCUUACAAGCUUUCAUUAUCAUCCAGUGCUUGUGUCACAUAGCUGCCCUUCCCUACUUCUCAGCCCUCCAAAAGGCACAAUGUCUUCCAUCAGGCAAAAGUGACACCACAACAUUCAUUAUAGGAAGUAAGAGACAUUCAUCACUGGAAUAUUUUAGCAAAUGAAUCACAACAGACUGAUAGCAUAACUCAUGUUCUAAGGCCAAGAACAAGAAUUGCAUAGUUUAUUUUAAGACAGCAGAAGAGUAAAAAACAGAUUGAAAAACAUAUGAUACCCUCUCCAGCUCAGAGCUCUACAAACAGCAGUGGCGUUUGCAAAGUUCUAUGUAUCUUCUCAAAUGUGGUUUCAGUUUUAAUGUGUGUUGACAUCUUUGUGUGCAGAACUAACUGGAGGAACAACAGUUUGUGCUUUUUUUCCCUUCUUGCUACAAGGGUGAGAACAGGGAAAGAACCAAACGAUCUGUGUUUACUUUGAGCAGCCAUACACCAUGCAUGGACACUAAGCUUCUUACUGCUUCUGAUUAGUGACCUCAAUUGAGACUCAUUGCUCAUUGCAAAGACUGCUAAUGGAUUGUUUGAGCCUGAAUGUGUUAGGAUGGAAUAUUUCUUCUUCUCAGAUUCAAGGCCAGUUUUUUUCCACCCCAAGUCCAUUCUACCCAGAGUUCUAGAUGAUGAUGGUCAGGUUAUUCAAGAUAAUGAUUAUGUUUUCUAGAUGAUUUAAAAUGAAGUUCAACUUUUAUUAUCUUCCCUAUAAUGAUAUUUGUAGUCUUUAUGUUCAAUAACAAGCUGUCAGGCUGCCUCAGUUUAAGCCAAGGCAUUUUCUUAUCAAAACCCAUCACAGAAAAAGAUACAAUCAUGAAACCACAGAUUCUUGUAGCUCUUCACAGUAAACUUUAACUAUGAAUAACCUCUUGGAUUAUUAGCCGAUUGUGAUUACAUUUAUAUUAUUUGCUCACAUGCUUUGUCACUUUAGAGCCCUGAAAACCCUGUUCAUUGUUGCUAGGAGAUGGGUGGCUAUGGCAACAGUGUGGGUCAGAGCCAGAUGGAAUGCCUAAAGCAUAAUCAGGUUUAGGCUUUUUUUUGAUCUCCAAAUGACUCCAUGGCAGUCCUGAGCACGGAAGCCCCAAAUCACUGCCUCUUCAGCUUGUUUCAAAAGACAUAUUCCUUGAAGGUAGAAUCACUGUCAGCAGAGUCCUUGCCAGGAACGACUUUCCAGUGAAGGAGACAAUGGAAAUUUGGACAACAUUUUGAAAACCACUAACAGUAACAACGUGUUAAUAAUAAUUAAAACAUUAAGAUGAAGAAGACAAAGAAGGAGAAAUAUGAAGGGAUUGCUAAUUGCUGGUGUUCUGCAUUUGUUUUCUUAUUUAAUCCUCAUCAUAACCUUAUGAGGUGUUUCUCUCGGGAAAAGAGAGAAAUUGUUGGCAGAAAAUAAUGAAAACACAAGGACUUGUGCUAUGUGCUGAAAGAAUUGCUCCUGAAACGAUAAAGGUGAAAUGCAGAUAAAGACAAUCAAGAUACAGCCUUUUUUAAAAAAUUAUUUCCAUUCCAGUCCUAUCCAUCCUGGCUAUAAAGUGACUCUCAACCCAAAGAUCUGGAAACUCCAGUUAAAUAAUGCACAUUUAAUUAUUUUGGUGCCCUUUUGGUAUCUAAUGCAUGCUAUAGAUGAUUGCACUGUCAUUUUAACACUGAGAGGUACAAAAUAAUAGGUCCAUUUUCAAAAGACGUGGCCUUAACAGAACUAGUAUUUUUACUUUUAGUAUCCAAAGUACUAGAAUAAAGGAAACUGCUAAAUGUAACGUAAAGUGGAAAUGCACAUAC